rnacentral:rRNA from 1 species
GACGAACGCUGGCGGCGUGCCUAAUACAUGCAAGUCGAACGCAGUGGGGACGGGUGAGUAACCCGUGGGUAACCUCCCAUCAGAGGGGAUAAUACUUGGAAACAGGUGCUAAACCGAUACUGAUGGAUGGACCCGCGGUGCAUUAGCUAGUUGGUGAGGUAACGGCUCACCAAGGCCACGAUGCAUAGCCGACCAGCGAGGGUGACGGGGCACACUGUGACUGAGACACGGCCCAGACGCCUACGGGAGGCGGCAGGAGGGAAUCUUGGGCAAUGGACGAAAGUCAGACCGAGCAACGCCGCGUGGGUGAAGAAGGUUUUAGGAUCGUAAAACUCUGUUGUUAUAGAAGCGGUAUCUAUCCAGAAAGCCACGGCUAACUACGAGCCAGCAGCCGCGGUAAUAC